rnacentral:rRNA from 1 species
UACGGGGGGGGCAAGCGUUGUUCGGAAUUACUGGGCGUAAAGGGCUCGUAGGUGGCCAACUAAGUCAGACGUGAAAUCCCUCGGCUUAACCGGGGAACUGCAUCUGAUACUGGAUGGCUUGAGUUUGGGAGAGGGAUGCGGAAUUCCAGGUGUAGCGGUGAAAUGCGCAGAUAUCAGGAGGAACACCGAUGGCGAAGGCAGGUCUCUGGGCCACUACUGACGCUGAGAAGCGAAAGCUAGGGGAGCAAACGGG